GAUCCUGGCUCAGGAUGAACGCUAGCUACAGGCUUAACACAUGCAAGUCGAGGGGGCAGCAUGGUCUUAGCUUGCUAGGGCCGAUGGCGACCGGCGCACGGGUGAGUAACGCGUAUCCAACCUGCCUUACACUCUUGGACAGCCUUCUGAAAGGGAGAUUAAUACAAGAUGUUAUCAUGAGUAAGCAUUUUACGCAUGAUUAAAGGUUUACCGGUGUAAGAUGGGGAUGCGUU
rnacentral:rRNA from 1 species